UACGUAGGUGGCAAGCGUUGUCCGGAUUUACUGGGCGUAAAGAGCGCGCAGGCGGUCGGAUCAGUCGAAUGUGAAAGCCCCCGGCUCAACUGGGGAGGGUCACGCGAUACUGAUCGACUCGAAGGCAGGAGAGGGUAGUGGAAUUCCCGGUGUAGUGGUGAAAUGCGUAGAUAUCAGGAGGAACACCGGUGGUGUAGACGGCUUCUGGACCGUAACUGACGCUGAGACACGAAAGCGUGGGUAGCAAACAGG
rnacentral:rRNA from 1 species